AGUGAACGCUGGCGGUAGGCCUAACACAUGCAAGUCGAACGGCAGCACAGUAAGAGCUUGCUCUUACGGGUGGCGAGUGGCGGACGGGUGAGGAAUACAUCGGAAUCUACUUUUUCGUGGGGGAUAACGUAGGGAAACCUACGCUAAUACCGCAUACGACCUACGGGUGAAAGCAGGGGAUAUUCGGACCUUGCGCGAUUGAAUGAGCCGAUGUCGGAUUAGCUAGUUGGCGGGGUAAAGGCCCACCAAGGCGACGAUCCGUAGCUGGUCUGAGAGGAUGAUCAGCGACACUGGAACUGAGACACGGUCCAGACUCCUACGAGAGGCAGCAGUGGGGAAUAUUGGACAAUGGGCGCAAGCCUGAUCCAGCCAUACCGCGUGGGUGAAGAAGGCCUUCGGGUUGUAAAGCCCUUUUGUUGGGAAAGAAAAGCAGCAGGUUAAUACCCCGCUGUUCUGACGGUACCCAAAGAAGAAGCACCGGCUAACUUCGUG
rnacentral:rRNA from 1 species